rnacentral:rRNA from 1 species
AUGGUGAAAACAUUUAAUGGGGAACAUACUUGUGAGAAAAAGUGGCAAGUUACAGCCUUUACAGCUAGGUACAUUGCUCACAAAUAUGUGGACAAAAUCAGGGCAUGUGAGAAAUUGUCGUUGAAGGCUUUUGCAGCUUUUGUGCAAGAUGAUUGGAACAUGACAAUUAAAAGGGGCAAGCUGGGGAGAGCUAGGAAGAUUGCAUAUGAUAUCAUAUAUGGAGAUGAGAUUGCACAAUACAACUUGCUGUGGGACUAUGCAAAUGAGCUGAGGACAUCAAACCCUGGAAGUACUUUCCUUCUUGGACUUUCAGAAGAGUGA